CCCUUAGAUGUCCUGGGCCGCACGCGCGCUACACUGAUGCAUGCAACGAGUUUAUAACCUUGGCCUGAAAGGUCUGGGUAAUCUUCUGAACGUGCAUCGUGAUAGGGAUAGAUUAUUGCAAUUGUUAAUCUUGAACGAGGAAUUCCUAGUAAACGCGAGUCAUCAGCUCGCAUUGAUUACGUCCCUGCCCUUUGUACACACCGCCCGUCGCACCUACCGAUUGAAUGGUUCGGUGAAGAUCUCGGACUUCGAUAUUUAUUCUUUAUUGAGUUUAUAUUGUGGGAAGUUAUCUAAACCUCAUCAUUUAGAGGAAGGUGAAGUCGUAACA
rnacentral:rRNA from 1 species